rnacentral:rRNA from 1 species
AGAGAGAGACAUGCGCGCAUAUCAAUAAGCGGAGGAAAAGAAACUAACUAGGAUUCCCUCAGUAACGGCGAGUGAAGCGGGAAGAGCUCAAAUUUGAAAUCCUCAAGGUUCUACCUUGACGAAUUGUAGUUUAAAGAAGUGUUUUCUGUUGGAGUUUUGGUAAAAGUUCUUUGGAAUAGGACAUCAUAGAGGGUGAGAAUCCCGUAUUUGACCAUUAUUUCCAGCUUUGUGAUACACUUUCAAAGAGUCGGAUUGUUUGGGAAUGCAGUCCAAAAUGGGUGGUAUAUUUCAUCUAAAGCUAAAUAUUGGCGAGAGACCGAUAGCGAACAAGUACCGUGAGGGAAAGAUGAAAAGAACUUUGAAAAGAGAGUUAAACAGUACGUGAAAUUGUCAAAAGGGAAGCGUUUGACACCAGUGUUGUUUUCUCGAAAAUCAAUUAAAAAAGGCAGGGAUUUUGUGUUGUAUUGACUUUAUCAGCUUUCUGCACUCUUUUCUUGUCUUUUUUAAUGCACUUUUCGUUUAACAAGUCAACAUCAAUUUCUUUUGUUGUAAAAGGGUCAUUGGAAGGUGGCUUUCUUUUCGGAGAAAGUGUUUAUAGCCUUUGGCCUCUGCAAUCGGAGAGAUUGAGGUCUGCAGCGUAGAUCCUUCGGGGUUAGAUACAUUUGUGCUAAGUUAUAGCCUUUCAUAGACAACUUGUUGACUAUGAUCAGUCAUGUAGCUUACUCGCUUAUGCUAUUUUACCUACGCUUAGGAUGUUGAUGUGAUACUGCGAGC